rfam:Ipomoea nil DNA, scaffold: scaffold2701, cultivar: Tokyo-kokei standard.
GUCGUUGUAGUAUAGUGGUGAGUAUCCCCGCCUGUCACACGAGAGACCUGGGUUCUCAAUCCCCGGCAACGGCG